UACAGCGUGAUACGCUCGGUCGAUUCAAAAAAAGUGUAAUAAAAAGAUGCAGAAACUCAAGUAUUCCGACUUUAUUAUAGAACAUAACAAUAGUGCAGGUAACCAGUAUUACGUGUCAACCAAACCAGCUCUACAAGACAUCAACUCUUCCUAAAUCGGUUGAUAAUGAGGGUUGGAAAGAGGGAAGAAGAAUCGUUGAGUUUGGCGUGUUACGGUCAAACCUAAGAUUUUGUAAAAAAUGUAGACUUGGACCAGUUGGGCUACCAUUAACAGCACUGAUUAACUUUUGACAACAUGUUAGGUGAAUUUAAACAGGGAGUGUCUGGUUAUUUGUAUGUGAAAUGUCGAAACACAGAAUGCGGUCAUAUGAAUUGUGUUCCCUAUGGAAAAACACACAGACUCUAGUAGAUUGAAGACCUGUGAAAGUUGGAAUGCCAUGUUUCGUUGUCAACACAAAAUUAGGAACAGCAAUGAUUGAUAGUGUAGGUGGGCCGGUGAGGGUCAACAAUUUGUUGUCAACACUAAAUAUACCAACAAUUGGAAAUAAAAACAUGAAAAGAAAUGGAGAUACGUGUUGGAAAUAUCAUUGAGACAGCACUGGCUUCUAUGCCGACAGAAUCUGCUGCAUAAGAUCAAGGAAAUGGAGGAUGUGCAUCAUGAAGAAUCAAUGGUAUCAGAACACAACAUCAUGGAAGAUCUUAUUGACAAGAUCUCGGAGGAUGUCCUUUGCCAGAUGUUUGCCAGCACUAAAGUCUAUUCAUCAGUCAGAUGCUACAGUUACAAAUGACAGUGAAUGGUCAGAUUUAUACAAUUGUGAUUAACAAUCCUCAACAAUACAUCAAACAAAAAUGCCUAUUAAACUUUCUCACAGACAGUCAAAGGUUGAAAACAAAUCAGAAGUGGUCCACAUCUUAAAAAACCUCACAGCAGAUUAAGACUUUCCCCGAAAUUUCCCUGUAAAACCCGCAGUGGUAUGUCCAGUGCAGUAGAUACUGCCUGGCACAAAAGAGGAUUUGACAGUUUAACAUUGUAUUGCACCAUUAAACUAAAUAUGGAGAGAAGCUUAGUCACCAAAGCAGUCAACACCAAAAUACACACAAUGGCCAGGGCACUUAAACUUGGAAGAGUGAAAGAGUAAAGUAGUGCGUUUUUUUAGCUAACAAAGUGACAUUGCUAGCUUUUGUCUAUCUUUCGUCCGUAAACUUGAUCUUUAAACAACAUCUCAUAAAUUGCCAAGCCAAUUUCAUGCAAACUUACGAUAUUGUCUAGUCAGUUUUUGUUUUGCUUGCAAUCGUUAUAUGACAUGACUAAAGACAUUUAGUUUUAUUCUUAAGUUAUUAUGUUUAUGUUUGUAUAAGACCCAAAUAUAUUGUUAAGAUUCAUUUUUACAAAUUUGAAAGCCAUUAUUGUUCUAGUCAGUUUUUGUUUUGCUUGCAAUCAUUAUAUUACAUGCAGGCUGUCCAGCGUCCCUAAAAUUCCUAAAAAAUCCUAAUUUUUUUCAGUUUGGCUAAAAUUCCUAAACAAAUGAAUAAUUCAAAGGGAAUUCCUAAAAAAGCCCUAUUUUUUCACUUAAAUUCCUAUUUUUUAUCUUUUGUGAUAAACAUAUUGCGAAACAACCAUGUUUCAAUCACAACUUAAAUUUUAAAUGGAACAAUGAAAAUUGUCGAACUUUGACUAUAUCAAAAUAGUCACCUGUUUAAAAUUGUGAUAAAAAAAUUUCCAAGGAAGUUACAUUUUUAUUGGCUUUAGAGUUUUACCAUUUACCUCAGUCUUAGGUUUAUGUAAAGCAACUAUUUACAUGAUGAACCACAAAUUUCAUCAAACUUUAUGUAGGGGUCCUUAUUAAUAAAGUCUUAAUUUGUAAUCAAGUUAUUUUCAAGUGAUGACUGUAGAACAGAUAUUUUGUAAGUGAUACCAGCUGGCAGAUCUAGACAAGUUUCCUUUGCUUAUUAUAAAGUGGGUAAGGUAAACUGGCAGUAAUGAUUGGAUGCUUUAACCAUUUUGCUACCCAAUUAGGGUACUAAGAAGUGACACCUUCGUAUACAUUAACAUGUACUGAACAUAAUUAUGUUAUAACAUAUAGUGUAAGUUUUUUUUAAAAUAUGGAAAAAAACUGUUGAAAAUCAUUGAAAGAACUGACACUGUUGUGAAAUUUCUACAAUUUUUAGUAGCCUGAUUUAUCUUGAACGAAUUCUUCAUAGGUGUAUACCCUGCUGUUUGAAUUUAAGUUUUAAUAUUCCUGGGAAUGAUUUGAGUGGGUCAUAAUGUUUUUAUUAUUUUUUAAGAAAGAUCUAGACUUGUUGAAAAUGUACCAACCUUAAAACGAUAAAUGUUGAUAAUAAAUGCAUUUAUAGCUAAAAUAAAUUUAAAGCAUAAUUUCCCCUUCCAUUUAUUAUUGGCUAAUCAUAGCUUAACUAAUUGAAUAUUGGUUGUUCAGGGAUACUUAUAACUUUGAAAAUGUUUUCAUUCUAGUUAUGUUUGAAUGUAGUUUUUCAGCUCUUUUUAAAGGCAGUUGACCAGUGAAUCAAUUUCUUCACUGGUGACUAUGGAACACUGGUAACACCUUUGCUAUAACCGAACUAGAGCAUUAUGAGUGAGUUACUUUUGUGUCAAAUAUGCAAAGUUGAGCCCAUAUCAUGGUCUUUUGAGGUCAUAAUUUAGUUACAAAUUCCAAAUUUUAGCCCUAAAAUUUCUUUUAUUUACCCUAAAAUUCCUAAUUUUAGCCCUAA